rnacentral:rRNA from 1 species
GAUGAACGCUGGCGGCGUGCCUAAUACAUGCAAGUCGAGCGAACGGACGAGAAGCUUGCUUCUCUGAUGUUAGCGGCGGACGGGUGAGUAACACGUGGAUAACCUACCUAUAAGACUGGGAUAACUUCGGGAAACCGGAGCUAAUACCGGAUAAUAUUUUGAACCGCAUGGUUCAAAAGUGAAAGACGGUCUUGCUGUCACUUAUAGAUGGAUCCGCGCUGCAUUAGCUAGUUGGUAAGGUAACGGCUUACCAAGGCAACGAUGCAUAGCCGACCUGAGAGGGUGAACGGCCACACUGGAACUGAAGCACGGUCCAGAAUCCUAAGGGAGGCAACCGUAGGGAAACUUCCGCAAUGGGCGGAAGCCUGACGGAACAACGCCGCGUGGGUGGUGAAGGUCUUCGGAUCGUAAAACUCUGUUAUUAGGGGAGAACAUAUGUGUAAGUAACUGUGCACAUCUUGACGGUACCUAAACAAAAAGCCACGGCUAAAUACGUG